rnacentral:rRNA from 1 species
CGUGGGGUGCAAGCGUUAAUUGGAAUUACUGGGCGUAAAGCGUGCGCAGGCGGUUUUGUAAGUCUGAUGUGAAAUCCCCGGGCUCAACCUGGGAAUUGCAUUGGAGACUGCAAGGCUAGAAUCUGGCAGAGGGGGGUAGAAUUCCACGUGUAGCAGUGAAAUGCGUAGAUAUGUGGAGGAACACCGAUGGCGAAGGCAGCCCCCUGGGUCAAGAUUGACGCUCAUGCACGAAAGCGUGGGGAGCAAACAGGAUUAGAUACCCUGGUAGUCCACGCCCUAAACGAUGUCUACUAGUUGUCGGGUCUUAAUUGACUUGGUAACGCAGCUAACGCGUGAAGUAGACCGCCUGGGGAGUACGGUCGCAAGAUUA